UCUUUUAUUGGCGAAUCAAAGCGCGAUUGACUCACAGAUGGCAAGUAUGUAAAAAUGAUGAUGGGAAAUUUGACAUCCGUCAAACUACGGUGAAUUUUUUGGGGUUUACGAAACCUUCUCUAAUAUCUUCAACACGGAAUCCAAAACGGCAAGAAAAACGUUAGAAAAGAAAAAAUAUAUUGUUCACGCGUGCCUGAGCUAUUUUGGUGCAUCCGGAAAUUUUACCACCUUUUUCAAAAUUCCCUAUCCAGUGUUUCAUAAAUGAAAGCAGCUCUUGCACUUCUCCGAAAACGAGGCCACCGGGCCUUGCGUUGAGUUACGCGCCCAUCCAGUUUGCAUCAGUGCGAGCGAGAAAACGUUUUGACGUUUGUUUUUGUUUCGAUCGCACUCGUGUGUAUCCCAUAUAGCAAGAACUCGACGAAAUGCUACACGCCACCGAAAAACUACCUAAAAUUCAGUACUUUUGACUCAAUCUCGUGGUAUCGCACAGGAAGGUAAAAUUAGGAGUUCCCUGUCCGACCAGUGCCAGACUACCACUAAGCGACCGCCAUCACCCUUACCACUAUGCCUGCAUAGAAGGAAACUGAAGCGAGCGCGACUCGAGGUCCGAUGACUCUUGAAGGAUUCCCCGUUGAUCCGAUGAAUACCAUCCGUCAAUCCGGUACUCGACGACCUACUAGGCUGAGGCUCUAAUUUGUGUCGCCGAUCUCCCGUUUGCCCGAAAAUUGCAAGUUUUGCUCUUCCUUCCCUGUCAUUAUAUACACCUUGUCCUUGAUACAAGUGCUGCUACAUCGAUGUUUGAAAUAAGCCCCCCUCUGAAUACCUUGAGCAAGCAUAAGUAAUCGUUAAAAAAACAAAUUUGUGUUCUGUAUUUUCUAAGAUGGCUGCAAUUUUUAUUCUUCAUUAAAACUAUUGUCCCCUAUUUUGUAAUAGAAUUGUUGUUGUGUAGUUUGAAACUUGUUCCCCCUUUUGUAUACCAAACUAUAUUUUUAAAACUGUUACUCCCCCUCUUGUAUAUCAAACUAGAUUGCUUGCUUUAAAAAUUUUCGCAAAAAAUCUUGUAUAUUGAAUUGUAUUUCUAGUCUUAAGAUGGCUGAAGAAUUGUUCCUCUUAAUAUAAAAAAUAUCUGAACAUUGUAACCUCCUAUAGUUUUGAGAAUUUAAAAUGUAAAAACAAAAUAAUUUGGCACCGCCAAGCAUUUGUGCCUACACUGAAAAGAA